UUCCAAGAAAGCUCCUUCACCAACAUGUGCUCUUCACGAAGACGAAACAAGCUGUCCUCCAAUUCUUCCCGGCUCAUUCUGCUCAAGGGUGGUUGAGCUUUCAUAUUCUUACCUAAAGUCCCAGGAAAGGAUCAUUCCUGGAUGUGGAAUAUCAUUCCAUACUGCUCCAGCAUAAGAUAAUUUGGACCUAGACAAAGUUGUGCCCACAACUAUCUUCAAACCCUUACUAAGGAAAAGGAUAGAAACCUUUCUUGAUUACCAAGUCAUCUCAUUUGUUUUCGUGGUUUGGAGAAACUGUCCCCAAAUUUGCCUCCUUGACAUAGAGCAUUUGCGUGGUCUAAGCAGAGGAAAGUAGAGUACAUUUUUCAGUGUGCGAGUGUUCACUGACCCACAGUCAGGUCUGAUCUCAUGAGAAAGAUCUUAAGAUUCCAACGCUCAAAAUAUAGCUCCUUUCCUGGAGGAAAGAGUUCAGAACUUCAGUCUCAGAACCACUGCAGCCACCACUACCACCUCUCUGGUUUAGACUUUGGAAAUCAUAUAUUUUAAAAAAAAACAGCUUUAUUGAAGUGUAAUUGGCAUGUAAUACACUGAAUAUACUUAAAGUGUAAAAAUUUGGUUAAUUUUGACAUCUGUAUAUAACUGUGAAACCAUCACAUAAGAUAAUGACUAUAUCCAUCGUUGCCAAAUUUCCUUGUGCCCCUUUGUGAUCCAUUGCUUUCCACCCUACCCUAACACCAAUUCCACUUUAGUCCCCAGGCAACCACUGAUGAUGGCUUUCUAUUGCUAUAGUUCUGAUUUUCUAGAAUUUUAUAUAGAUCAAAACAUCCAUUAUGUACUUGUUUUAUUUUUUAGUUUAGAGGGGUGGUUUGAUUUCUUUCACUCAGUAUAAUUCUUUUGAGAUUCAUCCACGGUGUUUCUUAUAUCAGUAGUUUCUUUUGAUUGCUGGUAGCAUUUCACUGUACAGAUAUACCAUAAUUUAUUAUCCAUUUACUGUUGAUGGAUAUUUGAAUUGCUUCUAGGUUUUGGCUGUUACAAAUACAGCAGCUAUGAAAAUCUUUGUUUAAGUCUUUGUGUGGACAUGUUUUAAUUUUUCUUGGGUAAAUACAUAGGAGUGGAAUAGCUGGGUCAUAAGAUAGGUGUAUGUUUAACUUUUUAAAAGUCUGGGCAGCCCGGGUGGCUUGGUGGUUUAGCACUGCCUUCAGCCCAGGGCCUGGUCCUGGUGACCCAAGAUCAAGUCCCACGUCGG